CCUCCCUCCCUCCCUUCCUUCCUUUCUUCAGUCUGGCCUGCAAUUUUUUUAUCCUCCUGCCUCCUGGAUGCUGGAAUUGCAGGCAUAUGACACUAUAUAAGGAACUCCCAGGAGAAGAAAAACUUUGGAUACCAUCAAAGUUAAUCAAGAUUCGAGUCGAAAAAGAAAAACCUUUCGAUGAGGAAAAAUGACAGGUAACAUACCAAGCCAAUGAAGACCUGCCCGACGGCAACCUCUGGAUGAUCUGGAAAGAAAAUGGGCCAUACCUCCUUGAGUACACUGGAUCCAACUUGUUUCAUUUCAACCAGAACUUCAGGUACUGACUUCAAUCAACACGAGAACUUCAAUCAAGGACUUCAACCUGGACCUUCAAUCAAGCAUCUCCCACCAGACACUGACUGGAUAUAACCCAUUCAGGACUUUUAUUACACUAACAUUUCUUCCCACAGGACCCUACAAGGCUGUCAUCCUCCCAGUUCAGCAGGAAGUAGCAUGGAAAAUGCUACUUUCCCCCUUUCCCCACUGUUGACACCUAUUUAGAGCUAGUUUCCAAUUGUUUAAGGUUGGGCUUGGUAGGAGGUGUUCAAGCUUGGACAUCUCUUUCAGAUGACUUUAAGGUUUAGUUGGAAUAGUUAUAGUUAAGAUGUGACAUCAGUAGAUUAUUAUAACUUCUUGUAAUUCACCCUUAUGAUUGUUAAAGAUAGAUAAUUUGGUGGGAUUCUAGGUGUGUGCCAGAAUUACUCCAGUGUAGGGAGACACUGUAGCCCCACCUCCUAGUAGCCUGGACAGGUGUGCUGGGACACGCCCUUAAGGGCGUGGUUAGGGGAAGUCUAAGGUGACGCAGGGAGGGUUCUUAAGGGACUGAGCACACAUGGGGACUCUUUUCCCUUCUUCCUUCUCUCCUGCCUGGCAAGUUUUGGCUUGCACCUGGCUGGUGUUAUCUGAAUAAAGAAAAC
rnacentral:lncRNA from 1 species